GUGUAGGCAGUCUUUGGACAUUUUUUCUAGAAUUCUCUAGACUCAUCACCUUGGAAACAUUGGUUGUGUCCAUACAUUGGGUCUGUGGCCAUAUGAGGAAGAAGCCAGGUCAUAAUUGCCUGUUCACCCCUCCUCACCCCUCCCUCUUCUUGAUUCUCUAUGAGUGACUUCUAAGAACAGUUACAGUUGAAGAAGGAGACCAAUUUUUCAUCUACCAAGUGUCACGGAUUAGGCAUAAAAUCAUUAGAAAUGGAUUUUCCUUUCUGCAUCCUUUACUAUUGGGAAACAUCUCCCCAUGUGAACAAGAAAUGGAAGAGUUGCUAAAGCAAAGCCCUUGAGUAAACACGUAAGUAAUUUUAAGUAAGAGUACAAAUAAUUCAUCAGUAGUGACAAAAAUGGAGAGUACAUGACUCAGAUAUAAUUAGGCAGGUAGAUGUGAAGAGCUUGUUUAAGUUAUCUUCAGAUUUCUCCUGUUUUAUCACUGAAAGGGGGAGUUGGGUCAUUAGUUAGGAGUAGCAGGAGAGGGGUGGGGUAAAGGUGUU
rnacentral:lncRNA from 1 species